GACGAACGCUGGCGGCGUGCUUAACACAUGCAAGUCGAACGGAAAGGCCCUGCUUUUGUGGGGUGCUCGAGUGGCGAACGGGUGAGUAACACGUGAGUAACCUGCCCUUGACUUUGGGAUAACUUCAGGAAAUUGGGGCUAAUACCGGAUAGGAGCUCCUGCUGCAUGGUGGGGGUUGGAAAGUUUCGGCGGUUGGGGAUGGACUCGCGGCUUAUCAGCUUGUUGGUGGGGUAGUGGCUUACCAAGGCUUUGACGGGUAGCCGGCCUGAGAGGGUGACCGGCCACAUUGCGACUGAGAUACGGCCCAGACUCCUACGGGAGGCAGCAGUGGGGAAUAUUGCACAAUGGGCGGAAGCCUGAUGCAGCAACGCCGCGUGCGGGAUGACGGCCUUCGGGUUGUAAACCGCUUUCGCCUGUGACGAAGCGUGAGUGACGGUAAUGGGUAAAGAAGCACCGGCUAACUACGUG
rnacentral:rRNA from 1 species